AUGGCCGCAACCACCAUGUCACUCUCUUCCCCAGCCUUCGCCGGCAAGGCAGUAAAGAACUUGCCAUCAUCAUCUCUUUUCGGGGAGGCUCGCGUCACCAUGCGCAAGACGGCGGCAAAGGCCAAGCAGGUUGCCUCCGGCAGCCCGUGGUACGGCUCUGAUCGCGUGCUCUACCUCGGCCCGCUUUCUGGUGAGCCCCCGAGCUAUCUGACCGGUGAAUUCCCCGGCGACUAUGGGUGGGACACCGCUGGGCUGUCGGCUGACCCCGAGACCUUCGCCAAGAACCGCGAGCUGGAGGUGAUCCACUGCCGUUGGGCCAUGCUUGGCGCGCUCGGUUGCGUCUUCCCCGAGCUUCUCGCCCGCAAUGGUGUGAAGUUCGGCGAGGCUGUUUGGUUCAAGGCUGGAUCCCAGAUCUUCAGCGAGGGCGGCCUCGACUACCUGGGCAACCCAAGCCUUGUGCACGCACAAAGUAUCCUUGCCAUCUGGGCUUGUCAGGUCGUGCUCAUGGGCGCCGUUGAGGGCUACCGCAUUGCCGGUGGACCGCUCGGUGAGAUCGUUGACCCGCUCUACCCGGGCGGCAGCUUUGAUCCGCUCGGCCUUGCCGACGACCCUGAGGCAUUCACCGAGCUCAAGGUUAAGGAGAUCAAGAACGGUCGCCUCGCUAUGUUUUCCAUGUUCGGUUUCUUUGUGCAAGCCAUCGUCACCGGCAAGGGUCCACUAGAGAACCUCGCUGACCACCUCUCCGACCCCGUCAACAACAACGCAUGGGCAUUCGCCACCAACUUUGUUCCCGGCAAGUAA
rnacentral:rRNA from 1 species